GGUUGAAAACUGUUGUUCUCCACCCGCCCCAUCCCUGAUGCCCUGUGUGGGUGACGUCAGUCAUUUUAUUCCCUUAAAUGGGAAUUUUGUCUGGCAAGAUGGAAUGUUUAGCGCUGCUUGAAUCAGCGAGCGCUCUGAACCGUUGAGCGUAUGCUGACUACUAUCCGCGCGCUUCCACACCCCCCCCCCGGAGUGGGUUCUAUGCCCUGGGGAGGCCACCCGUGGUAGUGGCUGCUGUUUUCGCUGCGGUAUUUCGUUUAGUUUUCCUCAAACGCAGCGACUAUACGAAAUCAUUUGAGGGUGAGGUCUUAACUGUAGGAUUGGAGCUUUUGAAUGAGUGAAUGACGUGACCAGGAGGACUGUGUAAAGUGCCCGAGAUUUGCGCAGGUCUUUUGCGCAAAAUGCUUUUAGUUUAGAUACAAUACAACAUUUAAGUUUCAAGUAUCUUGAUAUUGUAGGUUUAUUAAAAAUGCUAUGUUUACGUUAAGUGGCGUGACAAGAAGAAUUCAAAUGUCUUGGGUAAUAGCAAGACAUAAUUAGAGUUGUCUCGAUAUUCUAACGUGCAACUUUCGCUGUUUCACGUGGGAUUAGAUUUAUCCUCCGUCAAUAGUGUUGACGAAGGCUGACGUUCAACUAUCAAUAAAUAAUUUUAUUUCAGGUAUUAUCCUUGUCCGUAAACUUUAACAGCAUCUGCCAUAUAUUCUUAAUAAAUGAUCAAUACCUUGGAAUUUGCCUUAACUGAAGUUACUAAACUUGCCUUAUCUGGAGCAUUACAGACAGUAAUGGUUAGAAGAUUUUGUUAUGUAGAUCUAAAGCAGCCCAGAAUCUCUCAGGAAUGAGGUGGAGUGAAGUUCCUUUUGAUAGAGAGAAUCUUGUCUAUUCAUUUAGUUAAUGAAUUCACAUUUUCAGUCCAAAGAUGGUUGCUGAAAAUCAUACUCUUUUGGAAUUUGGACUAGAGACCCUUUUCAAGUCUCUAGUGAAUACCGAAUUAAAAAUGGACAUGGGUGAGGAUGCUUCAAAAUGAUCUGUGGAGUUCAUACAUCUGUGUUUCAAGAUGGACCAACACUGAGAGACUGAAGUUUCUAGGCUACCUGAUUUGGUGUUCCAUAAUGGCGGGGAGAAAGGGAGAAUUGAAACUCAGUUGCCACUUAUCCACUUUCUGUUAUCACAGGGGCCUGCCCUGACCAAAGAAGAGAUGAGCCUCCGAAGUAGUCCUGAAAUUCAACCUAUUUUCAUGGAAUUCACCCUUUCAUUAUCCCAGGACCCAAUAGACUCGUCAGAGCCAUCGGUUGUCAUCCAGCCUAGGAAUUAGUUUGAGUCAAUCUGCAAGUCAUCAAGCACCCAAAGUACUCAACUUUAUUCCGGUUUGAGAGUUCACUUGAGAAUUUACCGGAUAACUCUCAACCUGCUAAGAACUCUUUGCUUUACUAUGCCCUUGCUUAAACUUUAAAUCCUCAAAUCCUUUGAAGAAACAACAAACUGUUACAUGGUAUUCCAGAACUCAUUGUGUAGUUGAACUGUAUGUAGAAAUGUACCAUUGUUUGUGUCCAGUCUUUGCAGGUACAUUUUGUGAGAAUGAGUGCAAUUUUCUUUUUUGGUUGUUAAUUUGGGUUAAGUUUAUGGGAAUCAAUAAUCUUUAUUUUAAAUUCACUAAAGCUUGCUACUGGUUUUAUCUAAUUGGAAUAUGCAUUCCAAGGCUAAGCAAAGGCACGCAUGCUUCCCUCCAGAAAACCAAAUCUGCCCGUAACUAUAAUAAAUUAUAAAGAUGAUCAGUGAAUGAUACAAAUAUUCUG